rnacentral:rRNA from 1 species
AUUGAACGCUGGCGGCAUGCCUUACACAUGCAAGUCGAACGGCAGCACGGGAGCAAUCCUGGUGGCGAGUGGCGAACGGGUGAGUAAUAUAUCGGAACGUGCCCAGUCGUGGGGGAUAACGUAGCGAAAGCUACGCUAAUACCGCAUACGAUCUAUGGAUGAAAGCGGGGGAUCGCAAGACCUCGCGCGAUUGGAGCGGCCGAUAUCAGAUUAGGUAGUUGGUGAGGUAAAGGCUCACCAAGCCGACGAUCUGUAGCUGGUCUGAGAGGACGACCAGCCACACUGGGACUGAGACACGGCCCAGACUCCUACGGGAGGGCAGCAGUGGGGAAUUUUGGACAAUGGGCGCGAAGCCUGAUCCAGCAAUGCCG